rnacentral:rRNA from 1 species
GACCUGGCCGGGCGGUCCGCCUCACGGCGUGUACUGUCUGGCCGGGUCUUACCUCUUGGUGAGCCGGCAUGCCCUUCACUGGGUGUGUCGAGGAACCAGGACUGUUACCUUGAGAAAAUUAGAGUGUUCAAAGCAGGCCUACGCCUGAAUACGUUAGCAUGGAAUAAUAGAAUAGGACGUUCGAUCCUAUUUUGUUGGUUUCUAGGAUUGACGUA